UUAUACCCUGUCAAACAACCGCAGUUCGACAGGUACCCUGUCGAAUUGUGGUUGUUCGAUAUAUACUCCUGUCGAACUGUGGAUGUUCAACAGGGUA
rnacentral:pre_miRNA from 1 species